rnacentral:misc_RNA from 1 species
AAGUCGUAACAAGGUUUCCGUAGGUGAACCUGCGGAAGGAUCAUUAACACGUAUCCAAACGUUAAAACAACCCUGUGAAUAUUAACGCGUGUUCUUCCAGGCAACUAAAACAGCAAUCUCUCGUAAAACAGGCGCUAAAGAAUUACAGAUAUUGAUUUGAGAGAUUUCUGUCACGUACGUUCGACGCUGGAAUCGAGCACUAGAUAAAGCACCCUGGUACCCUCUGAUUUAUCACCAAUGUCUGAAAGUGUCAAGUGAUGGUCAGGGGUAACGCAGUCAACGAUCGCUGUAGGUCCACACGACCGGCGACCGGGGUGGAGGCGAAAGCCCCUACGACACCCCUAUGUACCCUCCGGGACUUGGCGAAAGCUGACUCCGUCAUAAAUCGAACAACUGUUAACAAUGGAUAUCUUGGUUCUC